rnacentral:rRNA from 1 species
AACGGCUGGCGGCGUAGCCUAAUACAUGCAAGUCGAACGGUCUUUCUAUGGAAGCUUGCUUCCACUGAGAAGAUAGUGGCGAACGGGUGAGUAACACGUGGGUAACCUGCCCAUAAGAGGGGGAUAACGUCCGGAAACGGGUGCUAAUACCGCAUAGUUUUCUUGAUCGCAUGAUCGGGAAAGGAAAGACGGCCUUUGUGCUGUCGCUUAUGGAUGGACCCGCGGCGUAUUAGUUAGUUGGUGAGGUAACGGCUCACCAAGACGAUGAUACGUAGCCGACCUGAGAGGGUGAUCGGCCACAUUGGGACUGAGACACGGCCCAAACUCCUACGGGAGGCAGCAGUAGGGAAUCUUCCGCAAUGGACGAAAGUCUGACGGAGCAACGCCGCGUGAGUGAAGAAAGGGUUUUCGGAUCGUAAAACUCUGUUGUCAGGGAAGAACAAGUUGGAGAGUAACUGCUCCAGCCUUGACGGUAUCUGACCAGAAAGCCACGGCUAACUACGUGCCAGCAGCAGC